CCACGGCCUCUGUUUGGCCACGUGGAGGCCUGGGCAGGCGUCCCAGCCGAGGCUCCUUAGGACCUCGCUUCACCUUCGCAGCCUCCUGCUCCUGGCCCAGGCGGCUGUAGAACGGCAGAGAAUGAAGGCCACAGCCGGGAGGUGUAUCAUCCGUGGAGAGCACGCAACCUUCGAGGAAGAGGAGAAGACCAAGGGCGGUGGAGCCUGCAGGAACCUCAGCAUUGCAAGGGCAGCUGGAGUGUCCAGGAGCCGAGAAAGACCUUGACGCUGAAUGCAGACAGACGGACAGUGAAGUCAUGAAGCCAAGGAAGGAAAGAGUUCUGAGAAGACAGUGGCAACAUGUUGGAAGUUGUGCAGAGGCCAAGUAAAAUGGAAGGCCCUUCUACACAUUGCGGAGAAACAGUUUUGAUGAGGGACUGGGGUAGAUACCAGACGGCAGAGCGCAUGGAAGAGAGAUGGGUAUAGGUAACCCGCUGGUCCAAGAAAGGGAAGCAAGAGAUUGGCAGUGCCCAGAGGAGAUGCUGGAUUGAGCAGACGACACAGGACUGAGUGCAAUGUCACAACCCCAGUUCCAGAGGAUCGGUGUGCUCAGCCUGGCUGUCUUGUCCAUGAGUAGUUUAAGCCAAACAUGACCAGACCUUCCUGCCUAGUGACUGAGAGAGAAAAGGCGCAUCUUCUGCUGUGAUCGGCUGACUCCAGCUUGGCUUCCCCUGCGGGGAGAGGUUCUGCAUUCCAUGGCCGUGCUGAGGACUCUCUUCUCCCCUCCCUCUGCUGGCAUUCCUGCAUCGACACUCCUCAGUGGUGCAGGCCAGGCCAACACUUGCCCCGAAAGCCCCAUCCCCCACGGCUCACCGACUGUGUUUGUGAAUGAACUGAGCAAUACCCCUU